rnacentral:rRNA from 1 species
AUUGAACGCUGGCGGCAGGCCUAACACAUGCAAGUCGAACGGUAACAGGAAGACGCUUGCUUCUUUGCUGACGAGUGGCGGACGGGUGAGUAAUGUCUGGGAAACUGCCUGAUGGAGGGGGAUAACUACUGGAAACGGUAGCUAAUACCGCAUAACGUCGCAAGACCAAAGAGGGGGACCUUCGGGCCUCUUGCCAUCGGAUGUGCCCAGAUGGGAUUAGCUAGUAGGUGGGGUAACGGCUCACCUAGGCGACGAUCCCUAGCUGGUCUGAGAGGAUGACCAGCCACACUGGAACUGAGACACGGUCCAGACUCCUACGGGAGGCAGCAGUGGGGAAUAUUGCACAAUGGGCGGAAGCCUGAUGCAGCCAUGCCGCGUGUAUGAAGAAGGCCCUCGGGUUGUAAAGUACUUUCAGCGGGGAGGAAGGGAGUAAAGUUAAUACCUUUGCUCAUUGACGUUACCCGCAGAAGAAGCACCGGCUAACUCCGUG